UAUAUUAAAGGCAGAGUGCAGCGCAGC
rnacentral:piRNA from 1 species